rnacentral:rRNA from 1 species
GGGUUGUGAGGUUAAGCGACUAAGCGUACACGGUGGAUGCCCUGGCAGUCAGAGGCGAUGAAGGACGUGCUAAUCUGCGAUAAGCGCCGGUAAGGUGAUAUGAACCGUUAUAACCGGCGAUUUCCGAAUGGGGAAACCCAGUGUGACUCGUCACACUAUCAUUAACUGAAUCCAUAGGUUAAUGAGGCGAACCGGGGGAACUGAAACAUCUAAGUACCCCGAGGAAAAGAAAUCAACCGAGAUUCCCCCAGUAGCGGCGAGCGAACGGGGAGGAGCCCAGAGCCUGAAUCAGCAUGUGUGUUAGUGGAAGCGUCUGGAAAGGCGCGCGAUACAGGGUGACAGCCCCGUACACAAAAGCGCAUAUGCUGUGAGCUCGAUGAGUAGGGCGGGACACGUGGUAUCCUGUCUGAAUAUGGGGGGACCAUCCUCCAAGGCUAAAUACUCCUGACUGACCGAUAGUGAACCAGUACCGUGAGGGAAAGGCGAAAAGAACCCCGGCGAGGGGAGUGAAAAAGAACCUGAAACCGUGUACGUACAAGCAGUGGGAGCCCCACCACUAAGCCAGUGGUGAACUCCACAUACGCAUCCUUUGCUGAGGAUACGGUUAACGGAGCGAAAGCGACGUUCAACCGCAAAAGAAGCAGAGGGGGCUUAGUGGUGGGGUGACUGCGUACCUUUUGUAUAAUGGGUCAGCGACUUAUAUUCUGUAGCAAGGUUAACCGAAUAGGGGAGCCGGAGGGAAACCGAGUCUUAACCGGGCGUUAAGUUGCAGGGUAUAGACCCGAAACCCGGUGAUCUAGCCAUGGGCAGGUUGAAGGUUGGGUAACACUAACUGGAGGACCGAACCGACUAAUGUUGAAAAAUUAGCGGAUGACCUGUGGCUGGGGGUGAAAGGCCAAUCAAACCGGGAGAUAGCUGGUUCUCCCCGAAAGCUAUUUAGGUAGCGCCUCGUGAACUCAUCUCCGGGGGUAGAGCACUGUUUCGGCUAGGGGGCCAUCCCGGCUUACCAACCCGAUGCAAACUGCGAAUACCGGAGAAUGUUAUCACGGGAGACACACGGCGGGUGCUAACGUCCGUCGUGAAGAGGGAAACAACCCAGACCGCCAGCUAAGGUCCCAAAGUCAUGGUUAAGUGGGAAACGAUGUGGGAAGGCCCAGACAGCCAGGAUGUUGGCUUAGAAGCAGCCAUCAUUUAAAGAAAGCGUAAUAGCUCACUGGUCGAGUCGGCCUGCGCGGAAGAUGUAACGGGGCUAAACCAUGCACCGAAGCUGCGGCAGCGACACUCAGGUGUUGUUGGGUAGGGGAGCGUUCUGUAAGCCUGCGAAGGUGGCCUGUGAGGGUUGCUGGAGGUAUCAGAAGUGCGAAUGCUGACAUAAGUAACGAUAAAGCGGGUGAAAAGCCCGCUCGCCGGAAGACCAAGGGUUCCUGUCCAACGUUAAUCGGGGCAGG